rnacentral:rRNA from 1 species
GACGAACGCUGGCGGCGUGCCUAAUACAUGCAAGUAGAACGCACAGUUUAUACCGUAGCUUGCUACACCAUAGACUGUGAGUUGCGAACGGGUGAGUAACGCGUAGGUAACCUGCCUGGUAGCGGGGGAUAACUAUUGGAAACGAUAGCUAAUACCGCAUAAUAUUAAUUAUUGCAUGAUAAUUAAUUGAAAGGUGCAAUUGCACCACUACCAGAUGGACCUGCGUUGUAUUAGCUAGUAGGUGAGGUAACGGCUCACCUAGGCGACGAUACAUAGCCGACCUGAGAGGGUGAUCGGCCACACUGGGACUGAGACACGGCCCAGACUCCUACGGGAGGCAGCAGUAGGGAAUCUUCGGCAAUGGACGAAAGUCUGACCGAGCAACGCCGCGUGAGUGAAGAAGGGUUUCGGAUCGGAAAGCUCUGUUGUAAGGGAAGAACGGGUGUGAGAGUGGAAAGUUCACACUGUGACGGUAUCUUACCAGAAAGGGACGGCUAACUACGUG